AUUGUUAUGUAUAAAAAAAAAAUCAUUAAUUGUUAUGUAUACUUUAUCCACGUUAGGUAAUUCUGUAAUCUUUAUUUAAGGAAAUAAUAAAUGACAUUAAUAAUGAAUUUAUGGUUAGUUUAAUAAAAAGCUUAUUAUAUAAUUAGAUGGACCAACCUAUUUUUCUAAUAAUUCUAAAAAUCAUCCUAGUGAUGAUACGUGGCUACAAAAAGAAGUUGUAAUGUUUCACAAAUAAUAUAUAGGGGAUAAGUCAUGGCAGCCACUAACAAAAAGAAAAGAAAAACCACUCUCAAAAUUUCCAAUGGCAAGAGAUAGACCUGUCUCAAAGCUUGAACUAUUACCAAUUUUCAUCCAAACAGAAAUAAUUAUCCUUCUAGCAAAACACUCAAUAGAUGCAGUCCGCAACGUCCUGUCAGCAUUCCCCCAACUCUGUCCGAGCUUCCAACAGCCGUCUGGUCUUUAUAAACAUGAAUCUCCAUCCCCUAACCGUUCAAUCAUUGUCAUCUCUACACAGGUACCAGAAACUGAUCUCUGCCUUUCUGCCGGUAACUUGGAUCAUUAUUAUACCAUAAAGGUAAAUAGCAAUUGUCAUACAAACCUUGUUCUGCGAUCUGGAGAUGUGCCAACCCUUCAGCUAUGUUCUCUUUUUGGAAAUAUUCUUGCAUUCCGCGUAGGUAAUGGGCCUCCAAGUUACCGGCAGAAAGGCAGAGGUCCAUCAGUUUCCGCACAACAAUGAUUGAACAAUCAUUGUAUAUUAGCCUCUUGUAUUCUGAUCAACAAAAACAUCACCUUGAUAUGGAGAACACUGGAGGUAGUAGAGACCUGCUGUGUCGGCCAUGGAAGCGUUUUUGACGGUUUGAGAAGCUAGCUAGCUUGAGAAAGUAGGCGAAGGAAGGUACUUACGGCAAAGUAUACAGAGCGAGAGAGAAGGCUACUGGACUAAUCGUAUUUCCAUUUUGCGUAUGCUUGCUCGCGAUCCCCACGUGGAUACGUUAGGUUGAUGGAUGUGAAGCAAGGAUUGAACAAAGAAAGCAGAACUGUACUCUACCUGGUCUUCGAGUACCUUGACACUGAUCUCAAGAAAUUCAUCCGAAGCUUUAGGCAACCUGGACACAACAUUCUUCAGGAAACUGUCAAGGUAGGCGGUGUGUGUAUUCAACUCCUACUACGUAAAUCAACUGGGCUUGCCUAUAGCCAGUAGGCCCCAUGGGAUUAUUAGGGACUUCGGGUUCGGAUACUCCGGGUUACCAGGGAAAACAAAAUAUCACUCAAUAGGCUAAAAGAUGCAUUAUAUUAUUUUGAAAUUGUGAUUGCAGAGCUUGAUGUACCAACUAUGCAAAGGAAUGGCUUUCUGCCAUGGCCAUGGAACCCCAUUUGGAAACAGACCAUUCA